UAGGCGUGGAAGUUCUUGGUUACUUUCGUUGAUGUUCUUGGCCUUCGGUCUUUUACUCUUGAUGAGUUUCUUCAAGCUUUUCAUGAUCAUGACUCAAGGUUAUUGGGUGAAGUACACAUGGCUGUUCUGAAAUCUGUCAUAAAGGAUAUUGAGGAUGUUGCUAGAACCUCCUCUACAGGUCUGGAGGUGGCUAUCUGCGAAUAGUGGAAGGGGUGAGGCUCCUUGGUUGUUAUUACUGCUCUUAAAGUUUAUUCAUGUUUCUAAUCUGGUUCUUUGUUCACCAUCAAGUUACGUUGUUGGCACUCUAUUUCAGUCAUAAGCUUGGGGUUUUGACCUAUGCAGCUGGUAGCAACAUUUAAAUCCUUUAACAUGGCCUAAGUUUACUUAGACUGUUAGCCUUAUCAGGAGGGUUUUGGUCCUCAAUAGGGGAACGGGAGAAUGCUGAACCAAGCAUAUCAUCAUGAUGAAAAUGAGGUGAAAUUCUUUUGCCCAGCUUUAAAGAAUGUGGAAGCUAACUGACUAUAUAUUUUUAAGUUUUCAUCAAGAUUUUCUUCCUUGAUUUCUAUUUUCGAUGUUUUUGGCUGAAA